GGAGAGGUCACUUCGGGUGGACAAUGCACAGGUGCUGCAUGGCCGUCGUCAUGCUCGUGUCGUGAGAUGUUUGGUUAAGUCCAGCAACGAGCGCAACCCCUGUGAACUGUUGCCAGCGCGUAAAGGCGGGGACUCUGUUCAGACUGCCCAGAUCAACUGGGAGGAAGGUGGGGACGACGUCAGGUCAGUAUGGCCCUUACGCCUAGGGCUGCACACGUACUACAAUGCCCAGCACAAUGAGAACCGAGACCGCAAGGUGGAGGAAAUCUGCAAAACUGGGCCCAGUUCGGAUUGGAGGCUGCAACUCGCCUCCAUGAAGUCGGAAUCGCUAGUAAUGCCGUAUCAGCUACGACGGCGUGAAUA
rnacentral:rRNA from 1 species